rnacentral:pre_miRNA from 1 species
UCUCAUUGAUGAGCAAAGAAAAUGGCUUCUUGAAAUGGAAUCUACUGCUGAUGAAGAUGCUGUGAA